AGUGAACGCUGGCGGUAGGCCUAACACAUGCAAGUCGAACGGCAGCACAGUAAUAGCUUCCUCUUACGGGUGGCGAGUGGCGGGCGGGUGAUGAAUACAUCGGAAUCUACUUUUUCUUGGGGGAUAACGCAGGGAAACUUACGCUAUUACCGCAUACGACCUACGGGUGAAAGCAGGGGAUCUUCGGACCUUGCGCGAUUGAAUGAGCCGAUGUCGGAUUAGCUAGUUGGCGGGGUAAAGGCCCACCAAGGCGACGCUCCGUAGCUGGUCUGAGAGGAUGAUCAGCCACACUGGAACUGAGACACGGUCCAGACUCCUACGGGAGGCAGCAGUGGGGAAUAUUGGACAAUGGGCGCAAGCCUGAUCCAGCCAUACCGCGUGGGUGAAGAAGGCCUUCGGGUUGUAAAGCCCUUUUGUUGGGAAAGAAAAGCAGCAGGUUAAUACCCCGCUGUUCUGACGGUACCCAAAGAAUAAGCACCGGCUAACUUCGUG
rnacentral:rRNA from 1 species